rnacentral:snoRNA from 1 species
GCGCCAGCGAUGAUGUCGGGAGGUGGGGCAGCCGAUUCGACAUCGGCGAGGACUGAGGGCAAUGGGGCCGGUGGAAGCGGCGCCUACAACAACGGUGGGCGGUGGGGGUGGCUGAUCCGGCGC